rnacentral:rRNA from 1 species
AGCGGCGGACGGGUGAGUAACGCGUGGGUAACCUGCCUCAUACAGGGGGAUAACAGUUGGAAACGGCUGCUAAUACCGCAUAAGCGCACAGUACCGCAUGGUACGGUGUGAAAAACUCCGGUGGUAUGAGAUGGACCCGCGUCUGAUUAGGUAGUUGGUGGGGUAACGGCCUACCAAGCCGACGAUCAGUAGCUGACCUGAGAGGGUGACCGGCCACAUUGGGACUGAGACACGGCCCAA